UUUUAGUUUUUUUGGUGGCCCUUCUUACUCGAUAUAACCGUAAUAUUUUUAGAGCUAAUACGUGCAAAAAUCCCGACUUCUGGAAGGGACGUUUAUUUUAUAUAAAAUGCCAACCGGACUCUGCUCGACCCGGGGUGAAUCAUGAUAUCUUCACGAAGCGCAUGGCCUUGUGCCGGCGCUGUUCCAUUUUUAUUUCUGCCCUAUCUUCUUUCGAUGGUAGGAUAGAGGCCUACCAUGGUGGUAACGGGUGACGGAUGAUUAUGGUUUUAUUCCGGAGAGGGAGCCUGAAAAACGGCUACCCCAUCCAAGGAAGGCGGCGGGCGCGCUAAUUACCCCAUCCUGAUACGGGGAGGGAGUGACAAUAAAUAACAAUACCUGGUAUUUCUUGUCUGGUAAUUGUAAUGANUACUAUCUAAAUCCCUUAACGAGGAUCCAUUG
rnacentral:rRNA from 1 species